CGAGGAGGGGCAAGAGAAAGGAUGAUUCGAGGCACCUGGGCCCUUCAAGGUCAUGCAGUGGGUCGAGGGCCUGAGAUCCUGUUCACCAGGACUCCACAGAGCUGGCUCUGCUCAGAAGCCAUUUCAUUCCCCGGCUCCACCCUAGGGCACUUUUUCUAACAGAGGAAACAAAUGGUCCAGCAGUCGUUCCCAGCAGAACAGCAGAGCCUGGACUGACACCCAGUGGGACCAGUGUUGCCACACCAGUUGAUAAAAUGCAGAAACCCUUCUGUACUCGUUGAUACUUCAGUUGUCACCCCUGGGAAGAUUCUCCCACCUCCUCCCUUUGAUGGAACCACCCUCCCCAGAGGCUGCAUUGAGGAGACUCCACAGACGAAAAGUGAGUUUGCAGAAACCUUGGGGAAAAGGGCCCUUUCAAAGAAGUGGAUAAGAGGGAGGAGAUCAUUGAGUGACCCAGAAAGCUCUUUUGAAAAGACAGACUCCUCAAGGAGAGAUAAAGAGGAAAGCACCUCUUUCAUUUUUAGUGUGAGCUAAUUCCAUCAGACUGCUGUCCUCCUGGACCCAUCUGAGAUGUGCAGUAGCAAGGAGAGGGGGGAUCAUUUUAGAGAGUGGGUCAUUGGCAGGGAGUGCUCCUGAGGGAGGCAGAGGGGAGACUGUGGUAGAAGGAAGACAGAACUCACACGUGCUCCCAGGAUUGGGGACAGGGACAGACGAGGUAACAGAAGGCAAAGGCCAGUUUCCCCUUUAUCAUGAAGGGGCCCACUCAGGACAGGAACAAGGACAACUCCUCCUCCUCCUCCUCUCCUGCUGCUCCUGGGAUACCAGGUCAGUGAUGUAGUCUUGCAGUUUGGCAACUUCCUAGCCUGAGAAUCCCUAGCGGGGCUGUGGGAAACACAUUUCCACGUUGCAAGUAUGCAACUCCAAAGAAUCUGUGAUGCCACUGAAAUGAGAUGGGAAUGAUCCAGCUCUUUCAGCAUCUUGGUUGAACUUGCUUUCAUUGUCCCUGGGAUAUUGUGGAAGGAAAGGUGACUGUGUGAUCUGAUUCCGUGGUCAAGGACUUGCAUCUUCUGUUUCUAUCCCCAAGCCUUCCUGGUGUCUCCAACUCCUACCCCAUUGCAUGGGUUGUUGCGGACAUCCAAUAAAGAUUUUUUUAGUGCUUCUGGAAACUUCCAGUAGAUUCUACUUCUAAACUAUCUCUGGAGUCCAUCCACUUCUGUCUGCACCCACAGCCACCCUGGCCAGGCCACAUCACCUCCCCCAGAUCACUGCCCUGGCCUCAGAAAGGUCUUCCCUCUUGCUUUGUCAAUCAGUUCUUAGUAGCAGCAGAGAGAAAUUGAAAGCUGCAGGUCAUAUCAUAUCAUCUUUAGUUUGAAAACCUCACUCUCUUACCCUAUUAUUCUAAAGGUCUUCUUCUUUUGGUCCCAACCUCACUUCCAGCCUCAUUUCUUGCCAGUCCCAGACUUGCUCCCUGAGCUUCUGCCACCUGCCCUUCCUUCAUUUCCUCGACAUUCCAGCCUCGUUCCCACCUCCAGCACUUUGCAUAUGCUGUUCCCUUUGCCAAGAAUGCUCUUCCCCUACCCUGUGCAUGGCUGAGUUCUGCAGACCCUCAGGCCUUGGCUUCAAAGUUGCCUCCUCCAAGAGGCCUUCCUCAACUACUGUACUUGUGGAGUUCCUCUAUCACAAGGCCUCUGUUCUUUCCCUUCAUGGAGAAUUUGCCACUGCAUAUCCAUUUGUGUAAUUUACUUGUUGGUUGACUGUGCCUCCCACUCGAGUGUAAGCUCAUGAGGCCAGGUGCCAUGCCUGGUUCACUCUCCACUCUGUACCCAGCAUUGAGCACAGGGCCUGGUCCAUAGUUGGCGUUCAAUAAAUACUUGUUGAAGAAGUGAACUGAGAAGGUGAGAUAUCUUCUGGACUCAUGCCGUGGAUGGUCCGGGCCCCUCUAGGUG
rnacentral:lncRNA from 1 species